rnacentral:lncRNA from 1 species
AUCAUACGAAUUUCGUCUAACAAAGACCAUUUCGCUGCAUUCAAAUCUUUGUCUACUCCAUAUCCCACAUGACCUAAAGCAGGGCACAUCGUUAACGUCAACAUUAUCUACACACACACAAUUGAAAUUAAGAUAGAUGAGAUAACAAAUAAUAUAAAUAGUACAUAGUACAUUAAGGGAAAAUAGUGGAUAGUGCAUUUCAGAUAAUGUGAAAAUAGUGCAUUUCAGAUAAUGUGAAAAUAGUGCAUACUGCAUUUCAGAUAAAUAGUGCAUAUUACGGAAUUCAUGAGAGUUAAGUCCAACGAUUAUUUUCUUACCAUUAGUUGACGAACUCCCUAAUCCCGACCUUUUCUUUGUUGCCUUCUUCUUGAAUAACGACCUACAAACAUUAAACAUUAUACAAUUGCAAAAAGAAAUCAUAACACCAAAUUAUUGUGGACAUUUGGUACACUAUGUAAUAUGUACUAUGCACUAUGAUAUAGCCAUAAAUAACAAUGAAAAUAAGGGAGGUAAAAAAUAAAUUAAAAUGUUUGUGUCUGUUACACAUUUUAAUCAAAACACAUUCGUAAAUCAGAAUUGUGCCUGAUAAAGAUUAGUGGCCUAACACAUUUGGUGGCCAAUAAAGAUUUGUGGUCGAUAAAAAAUGAAAAACAGUGAUUUUGAUAUAAAAAUUUCAAAACAAGUUUGAAAAAUUUUAAUCUUCGGAAAUAUGGGAAAAUAUAAAGAUCAACAACAAGGGAAAAUUAUGAAAUACUAAAAAAGCAGUGAAACAAAAAACGUAAACAAAAAAAAAAUACCGAAACAACUAGAGACUAGGUGAAAAGAUGAGGAAAUGAGGGAUCAUGGAAAUGAAAUAAGAAACUAAACAUGAUCUUAGGGAAAAGGAAAAAAUUUAAAUGAGGGAUAAUAAAAAAUCAGUAUCCAUUUUUAAGAUUGAAAUGAUCGAAAACAGGGGAAAAACCAAGAUCAACAUAGUGAAAAAACAGGAUAAACGUGAAAUAGCAAAACAGCAAUAAAAUAAAAAAUAUGUAAAACAAACCAAAAAUAACAAUACUGCUAGAGACUAGGUGAAAACAAGAGGAAAUGAGGGAUCAUGGAAAUGAAAUAAAAACCUAAACCCAACCAUAGGGAAAACGAAAUAAUUAAGUAAACCCCAUUCUAAGAUCAUGGAAAUGAGUGAUAAAAAGAUACAAGAAAACCCAUUCUAAAGAUCAAAUAGAUAAGGUCAAUGAGGGAUAAAAACAAAUCAGAACCCAUUUGUUAGAAUUUAAUUUUCGAAAAGAGGGGAAAAAAACAGAAACAACAAUGGAACAACAUGAAAUACCAAAUCAGCAAUGGAAAAAAAAAAUUAUAAAACUAGUUUCCUCAUCCAGGUCGGGUCAUUUAUGAUUUCCUGGGGUUCAAAUAGGAAUAAUACGAUGCCAAGAUCAAGUGGGGAAGAAUAAUUGACCAACUAAGGGUAAAAACAGAGGGGAAGACCGAUGAAAAUCCAACCACACAACACACCAAAACCAUCGGAAAAUCGAACAAGGAAAUAUUCAAUCAGGAUACAUACCGAAUAGUUGAUGAUGGCGACCUGGCAGGUGGCUUCCCGUUACGCUCGCCGCUUGGGUUCGACAUGGUAAACUUGGAGAUGAUGUGCGGUAACUGUUGGGAAAGAAAUCGUCGCUAGGAAGAAAUCGCCGUUGGAGGAUGUUCAAAAUCGAGAGAUGAAUGCGUGUAGAAAAUGAGGGUUUCAGAAUAGGAAUAAUAAAUUGGGAUUUGCACAAUCACCUCCUCCUUCCAUCCAUCGGUCUAUAGGAUGUUCUAUGUACUUCCUCUGUCGGUGUGUCAUAAACUCCCAAUCAAAGCUUGCAUUUCAUACGAAGGGUCAGCAUUCAAACUCAAGAAUUGG